rnacentral:rRNA from 1 species
AUUGAACGCUGGCGGCAUGCUUUACACAUGCAAGUCGAACGAGUGGCGCACGGGUGAGUACUACAUCGGAACGUGUCCUAACGUGGGCGAUAACUGAUCGAUAGCUCAGCUAAUACCGCAUAAGAUUGGCGCGGCCGCUGCCCGAUUAGCUAGUGGGUGAGGUAAAGGCUCACCAAGGCGACGAUCGGUAGCUGGUCUGAGAGGACGACCAGCCACACUGGGACUGAGACACGGCCCAGACUCCUACGGUAGGCAGCAGUGGGGAAUUUUGGACAAUGGGGGCAACCCUGACCCAGCCAUGCCGCGUGCAGGAUGAAGGUCUUCGGAUUGUAAAAUGCUUUUGUCAGGGAAGCGGUACCUGACGAAUAAGCACCGGCUAACUACGUGCCAGCAGCCGCGGUAAUAC